GACGAACGCUGGCGGCGUGCUUAACACAUGCAAGUCGAACGGAAAGGCCCUGCUUUUGCGUGGUUCUCGAUUGGCGAACGGGUGAGUAUCACGUGUGUAACCUGCCCCUGACUGUGUGAUAACUUCAGGAGACUGGGGCUAUUACCGCAGAUGAUCUCCUGCUGCACAGUGGUGGUUGGAAAGUGUCGGCGGUUGUGGAUGUUCUCGCUGCUUACGAGCUUGUUUGUGGGGUAGGGGCUUACGAGGGCUUUGACGGGUAGCCGGCCUGAGAGGGUUAACGGCCACAAUGGGACUGCGAGACGGCGCAGAAUGCUACGGGAGGCAGAAGUGGGGAACAUUGCACAAUAGGCGGACGCGUGAUGCAGAAACGCCGCGUGCGGGAUGCCGGGCUUCGGGUUGUAAACAGCUUUCGACUGUGACGAAGCGUGAGUGACGGUAAUGGGUCAAGAAGCACCGGCUAACUACGUG
rnacentral:rRNA from 1 species